rnacentral:ncRNA from 2 species
GGAGUUGGCCAGGCAACCGCCGCUUUCAUCAGAAAGGGGAGGAAAGUCCGGGCUCCAAAGGGCAGGGUGCCAGAUAACGUCUGGGCGGCGUGAGCCGACGACAAGUGCAGCAGAGAGAAGACCGCCUAAGCAUGUUUACAUGCCGGUAAGGGUGAAAGGGUGCGGUAAGAGCGCACCGCACCUCUGGUAACAGAG